GUGGGGAAUAUUGGACAAUGGGCGAAAGCCUGAUCCAGCCAUGCCGCGUGUGUGAAGAAGGUCUUCGGAUUGUAAAGCACUUUAAGUUGGGAGGAAGGGCAUUAACCUAAUACGUUAGUGUUUUGACGUUACCGACAGAAUAAGCACCGGCUAACUUCGUGCCAGCAGCCGCGGUAAUACGAAGGGUGCAAGCGUUAAUCGGAAUUACUGGGCGUAAAGCGCGCGUAGGUGGUUCAGUAAGUUGGAAGUGAAAUCCCCGGGCUCAACCUGGGAACUGCUUUCAAAACUGCUGAGCUAGAGUACGGUAGAGGGUGGUGGAAUUUCCUGUGUAGCGGUGAAAUGCGUAGAUAUAGGAAGGAACACCAGUGGCGAAGGCGACCACCUGGACUGAUACUGACACUGAGGUGCGAAAGCGUGGGGAGCAAACAGGAUUAGAUACCCUUGUAGUCC
rnacentral:rRNA from 1 species